rnacentral:rRNA from 1 species
GUAGGGGGCAAGCGUUGUCCGGAUUUAUUGGGCGUAAAGCGCGUGUAGGCGGCCAGGUAGGUCAGCUGUGAAAACUCGAGGCUCAACCUCGAGAUGUCGGCUGAAACCAUCUGGCUAGAGUCCGGAAGAGGAGAAUGGAAUUCCCGGUGUAGCGGUGAAAUGCGCAGAUAUCGGGAAGAACACCCGUGGCGAAGGCGGUUCUCUGGGACGGUACUGACGCUGAGACGCGAAAGCGUGGGGAGCGAACAGGAUUAGAUACCCUGGUAGUCCACGCCGUAAACGAUGGGAACUAGGUGUGGGCGGUGUCGACUCCGUCCGUGCCGAAGCUAACGCAUUAAGUUCCCCGCCUGGGGAGUACGGCCGCAAGGCUAAA